GUCUGUAUUUCCGCCGGCGCGAAACGAGCGUAGCUUCCUUGUCGUGUGGCCUCAGUCCUUCGCCGUCCCUCGCCGUCCUUCGCCAUCGCACGCCACCGCACCCCAUCUCUCGAAAUCUGCAGACAUCUUGAUUUUUCCCACGCUGUCUGUCAGGUCUCCGCCGCCACUCGACGCCAGGGCGCCGGGUGAGUCCACAGCAGGGCGCAUGGUCGGCUCCACUCUCACCAUCGGGGGAAACUGAGGCCCCGGGGAAGGCGGCCAGAGAGGUCAGGCCCUGUCCUUGGUGCAGUGUCUCGUCCUCUUUGCCGGAGUGAGCCCCCCAGGAUUCGCGUGUCCUCGGGAAAGACACUGGCAGGCCUUGUGGGCUGUGCUGCACCUCGGACGGCUUCGCACCAGCCAGCGCCCUCUCUCUCCUGCAGCACUCUGAUCUGCACCCCCUGAGGGGCUUCCACUGUCCGCGGGGUGAGAAUGCCCCUGGGAGUGUCACAUGACUGCCGCCCCAUGUGUGUGAGAGGCGUCCUCUGGGAGAGCAUGGAUCCUGAGGUCCCAGGAUUGUCAGCUGACCUCUGUCCUGUGUGCCCAGUGGCCCCAGGUGACGUGUCUUCAAGAAGAGGCUGAGCUGCGGUGCUUGUAAGGUCUCAGCCUUAGAUCCAAGGACAGUCCAAGGAAGUCCUAAGACCAUGGAGUUGGUGAUCUGGGAUCUGGGUUUGCUGAUAUUUCUCACCGUGAAUCUCUUGGUGGUGUUUGUGGGCACGAGAGGGGCAGAGAAUGGAGAGUGAGGCUACCACAUGAAGCGUCACCAGAGCUGCUCCCUGCUGCCUGCUCAGAGCACCCCGGAUCCACUGUUCAAUCUGCACAAGAUUCGGGGUCCAGACAUGGGAGACUUCAGCUGCCUCAGAGGACCGUGGACAGGGAAGGCCAGCCUCGCAUCCCUCUGUCCAUGCCUGGAAUGACUUUAAUAACCAAGAGUUUUAUUUUUGAAUUUGUAGCUGUCGUUCACUUUUUACCCACCCAUUCAAUAAACCUUACAGAAUUGCUCCAUGUGCUUCUUAAA
rnacentral:lncRNA from 1 species